rnacentral:rRNA from 1 species
GACGAACGCUGGCGGCGUGCUUAACACAUGCAAGUCGAACGAUGAAGCCUAGCUUGCUGGGUGGAAGAGUGGCGAACGGGUGAGUAACACGUGAGCAACCUGCCCCGAACUCUGGGAUAAGCACUGGAAACGGUGUCUAAUACUGGAUAUGCAUCAGAGCCGCAUGGUUACUGGUGGGAAAGAUUUAUCGGUUCGGGAUGGGCUCGCGGCCUAUCAGCUUGAUGGUGGGGUAAUGGCUUACCAUGGCGACGACGGGUAGCCGGCCUGAGAGGGUGACAGGCCACACUGGGACUGAGACACGGCCCAGACUCCUACGGGAGGCAGCAGUGGGGAAUAUUGCACAAUGGGCGCAAGCCUGAUGCAGCAACGCCGCGUGAGGGAUGACGGCCUUCGGGUUGUAAACCUCUUUUAGUAGGGAAGAAGCGAAAGUGACGGUACCUGCAGAAAAAGCACCGGCUAACUACGUGCCAGCAGCCGCCGUAAUAC